AAAGCUUUAGGUUAAUGAAACUUUUAACCUUCAAAGUUAACAAUAAAAAAAAUAUAUUUUUAAGCUUUA
rnacentral:tRNA from 1 species